UUGAUUCAGGGACCAUGUUCAGAAAUUCCGUGAGGAAGCGUCAGGGAGUUUUUGUGUAUAAGGACUGUCUGGUUUUGCUGAGUUACCCUAGUGGCCUUAGGUAGUAUAUAUAGUUAAUAUGACAGUCAGACCAAAAAUUGUGGGUAGGCUGUAGAGGGGGUGGGAUAUACCACAGAAACCAUUUCGAAUGUAUUGUUUUUAUGCAGUGCUCUGCUUUAGAGAAAACGUGGCUAGGAAAUUAAAUAUUGUGGUGUCUUGAAUUGUUGCCUGGCAUCACUGAUUUCCCUUUUCUCUUCCACUUUUAAAUCACUCUGGGUUUAUUGUAUGGAAAACAACUAUACAUACUUGCUUAUCUGCAAGAAUAUAAUGAGAAAAAUAUAAAAUGUGGUUGUCAUUUUUGGGGGCUGCACCCAUGGCAUGCAGAAGUUCCCAGGACAGAGGUCGAACUGUGCCACAGCUGCCACCCAAGCCACAGCAGUGACAAUGCCAGGUCCUUAACCCACUGUACCACCAGGGAACUCCUUGUAGCUUAUGAAUGGCCAUAGUUUCUCUAAUGUGCAACAUUGUGACCUAAUACGAAUAGGUAACAUUAUUGAGUUCCUGCUAUGUCCCAAGUGUUUUACAUUUAUUUUAUUUUAUCCUCAUGGCAGCUUUAUGAGUUAGGUACUGUUACUCUUUGCAGAAUAGGAAACUGAGACACACAGAGGUUAUGUAACCUAAAGUAACACAGCUGGUAGGCUGAAUAGGCUUUAAACAUGCAUCUCUGAAUUGACAGAGCUUUUAACUAUCCAGACACCAGGUAUCUGAUGGUCUUUCUCCCACUAUGUUUCCACGUUUCCCCCCCCCCUACUUUUUUUUUGGCCAUGACAUGUAGUGGAUUGUUGUGGGAUCUCAGUUCCCAGACCAGGGAUUGAACCUGGGCUGCAGCAGUGAAAGCAUGGAAUCCUAAUCACUUGACCACCAGGGAGUUCCCUUUAUUCUACUUUUUAAAAUCUUGAAACUUUUCUGGUUAUUCUCUUACUAUUUCCUGAGUGGCUACAUCUGCAAUCAGGUAAUUGUUAGUAAUAACAAAUACGUAGUGUUUGUUAUCUGUCAGUAUUGUUGUUUGAAGUAUAUUUUGUGUUUUAGCUCAUUUGAUUCCUAUAACAACCCUAUGAGAUAGGCAUUCUUAUCAUCUCCCUUUUACAGAUGAGUAAACUGAACACAGAGAGGUUAAGUAACAUGUCCAAGGCCACACAUUUAUUAAGUGGCAGAGUCUGGGUUCAGAUUCAAGCCAUCUAACCCCAGUGUCUAUCCGUUUAACCACUACCCAUCCUGCUUCUUUAGUUUUAAUUUAUUUUCUUAAAAGCUGCCUCUUUUUCACAUACUAAUUUUGAUGAUGACAAAUUAAAUGAUCAAAAUUAGUUUUGCCUGUAUAAAAACUAAGAUAUAUUUAUGCCUCUCUCCCUAAUUUCUUUUAAAAGCUAAGAUAGUUUGAAUGGGGAUAACAGAGUUUUCUUUUUCUUUUAAUGUCCACACCCAUGACAUAUGGAGGUUCCUGAGCCAGGGAUUGAAUCCAAGCUGCUGCUGUGACCUACACUGCAGCUGCAGCAAGGCCAGAUCCUUUAACCCACUGUGCCAGGGAUAGAACCUGUGCCUGUGCAGCAAUCCAAGCUGCUGAAGUCAGAUUCUUAACUCCUUGAAUUAUUAUUUAUAUUUAAUAAUAAUUUGUGGUUUAUAAGUCCUUUAUGGAGAACUUUUGAGUCCUUUUGCUUGUUAAGCAUAUAUUUAAUCAGCUUAUACUUGGGGCAUGGAUAUUUGUGUCUUCGCUCACUGAAAACACAGAAGUAUAUUUGAAUUUGGCCUAAAUAUUGUUGAAGAAGAAUCUGCUCCUGAUCCCACUGGAAAACAACAACACUAAAAUCAGAAUAUUCCACUCAUCAGGGUUCCUGUCCUGGCUCAGUGGAAACAAAUCCGACUAGGAAUCAUGAGGUUUUGGGUUUGAUCUCUGACCUUGCUCAGUGGGUUAAGGAUCUGGCAUUGCUGUGGCUGUGGUGUAGGCCAGCAGCUACAGCUCCAAUUGGACCCCUAGCUAGGGAACCUCCAUAUG
rnacentral:lncRNA from 1 species